GAUGAACGCUGGCGGUCUGCUUAACACAUGCAAGUCGAACGGGCUCUUCGGAGCUAGUGGCGGACGGGUGAGUAACGCGUGAGGAUCUGCCCUUAGGACGGGACAACAGCUGGAAACGGCUGCUAAUACCCGAUGUGCCGAGAGGUGAAACUAUUUGGCCUGAGGAUGAGCUCGCGUCUGAUUAGCUAGUUGGAGUGGUAACGGCACACCAAGGCGACGAUCAGUAGCUGGUCUGAGAGGAUGAUCAGCCACACUGGGACUGAGACACGGCCCAGACUCCUACGGGAGGCAGCAGUGGGGAAUUUUCCGCAAUGGGCGAAAGCCUGACGGAGCAAGACCGCGUGCGGGAGGAAGGUCUAUUGAUUGUAAACCGCUUUUGAUAGGGAAGAAGAUCUGACGGUACCUAUCGAAUCAGCAUCGGCUAACUCCGUGCCAGCAGCCGCGGUAAUACGGGGGAUGCAAGCGUUAUCCGGAAUUAUUGGGCGUAAAGCGUCCGUAGGUGGUUUUAAAAGUCUGUUGUCAAAUCGCGAGGCUUAACCUCGUACAGGCAGUGGAAACUAUAAGACUAGAGUGCGGUAGGGGUAGAGGGAAUUUCCAGUGUAGCGGUGAAAUGCGUAGAUAUUGGAAAGAACACCGGUGGCGAAGGCGCUCUACUGGGCCUGCACUGACACUGAGGGACGAAAGCUAGGGGAGCGAAAGGGAUUAGAUACCCCUGUAGUCCUAGCCGUAAACGAUGGAAACUAGGUGUUGCCCG
rnacentral:rRNA from 1 species